CGUUCUCAUUCCGAACACGGAAGUUAAGCUUCUCAGCGCCGAUGGUACUGCCAGGGAAACUUGGUGGGAGAGUAGGUCGCUGCCGAAU
rnacentral:rRNA from 1 species